rnacentral:tRNA from 1 species
GCCCCUAUGAUGUAAUUGGUAGGCAUGCAAGGUUUAGAACCUUGUGAUAGAAAUAUCGUGCAGGUUCGACUCCUGCUAGGGGCA